rnacentral:rRNA from 1 species
GACGAACGCUGGCGGCGUGCUUAACACAUGCAAGUCGAACGGAGUGGCGAACGGGUGAGUAACGCGUAAACAACCUGCCCUUCAGAGGGGGACAACAGUAGGAAACGACUGCUAAUACCGCAUACUGAAGGAGGGGAUUGCGUCUGAGUAGCUAGUUGGAGGGGUAACGGCCCACCCAGGCGAUGAUCAGUAGGCGGUCUGAGAGGAAUGACGGCCACAUUGGGACUGGAACACGGGCCAAACUCCUACGGGAGGCAGCAGUGGGGGAUCUUCCGCAAUGGACGGAAAGCUGACGGGGCAACGCCGGGUGAGGGAUGACGGGCUUCGGGUUGUAAAGAUCUGUUAAUCGGGGCGCGGUACCGGAAUAGAAAGCCACGGCUAACUACGUGCCAGCCGCCGCGGUAAUUC